UUUACUUGGCGUAGCUCUGUCAUGUUCAGUUUGGGAAACCAAGAGCUCAAACUAAUCUCCCUUAUCUUCUUUCUUUUUCUUGUUCUUGACCUAGAAGAAAUGAUACAGCAAUUUGAGAAAAGAAAAGAAAAGGAAAAGAGAGGAGAGAGAGAGAGAGAGAGGAAUGCUAACUAUAUACGCUUAUACUCUUCUUGGCUCUCCUGGACGUGCAGAACUGUUUCUUCGUCCUCUACACCCUUUCUUUUAUUGCUUUGAGGGCAGUAAGCCAACUGUAUG
rnacentral:lncRNA from 1 species